rnacentral:tRNA from 1 species
GCCCGGAUGGCUCAGUCGGUAGAGCAGGGGAUUGAAAAUCCCCGUGUCCUUGGUUCGAUUCCGAGUCCGGGCACCA